rnacentral:rRNA from 1 species
AGGGGCAUGUGGGGUUGCACAGACAACUAGGAUGUUAGCUUAGAAGCAGCUAUUCAUUCAAAGAGUGCGUAAUAGCUCACUAGUCGAGUGACCCUGCGCCGAAAAUGUACCGGGGCUGAAACAAUUUACCGAAGCUGUGGAUCCCUUAGGGGAUGGUAGGAGAGCGUUCUAUGUGCGCAGAAGGUGUACCGCAAGGAGCGCU